CUUCUGGGAGAAUCCAUGCACAAUUCACAAGUGUCACUGGUCCUGCAGGAACAGCAGUUCCUGUAACCUUGAUCACCACUUUUCAUGCCCACCCACCGAAUAUAUUGUAGAGAUUAUAUUAUACUCCUAUGUAGAGGGGGUGUUGUGUUCAUCAUAGCUUUUACUUUAUUCUGGUUGUAUUAUAAAUUCUGUCUUUCACAGAUGCAAGCACAGAUGAAGAAGUGCACAGAAGUGCUGGAGUACAAUCCCUGUCUCAGCAAUUUUACAGACUCACAGUACUCUCAGAUGGGUGGUGAUGAGUAUGCUGGCAGAUGUGACCGUGGAGACCAAUGUUCUGGGCACCCUGGAGUCCCACAGGAGCAGAGGAAAAGGACCAAGCAUGAGAGAACAGGCUGUCUCUUGGGCUUUGGACUGUCUCAUGUCACAGGCUGCCCUAUGCCUGCAAUGAGCUGCGCACACCAGAAGAUGCUUAAAUAUCCACAUAUCUCAUACUGCAGGGUAAGGUACCUCUGUAGUGCCUUGAUUUCUUCUGUAUGAGUUAUAAUCCUGCUCUAAAAAAAUGCCUUGAAAUUGAAUUCCCACUGGGAGGAGGCAAGAAGUUGGAGGAGUACAGUCACCUGUGUGUAUCCCAAUUAAAUGUGCCUACAGGAUAUUCUAAGGGAGUACAGAAUAUGUGCCCAGAGACAAGAAAAAGACAUUUUGUAGCUAUUAUUAUUUUUAUUGUUAUGGUUAUUAUCAGGUAUUAGUUUAUUUUACUUAUGAACUCUUGACUGAAUUCUUCCAUCAGUCCUUUUGGACUACCUCUGUUCCUGUGUAGGUGUGUCCAUCAGCUGAGGGCAUGGUCAGAGGAUUGCUGACGGAUGCUCCACAUGUGGGAAGAGAUCAGAAACUUGGAGAGUGGUGAACAAGCAAUAAGAAGUCAAGGCAAACACUUCAGUGUCUUUUGAAGGGUCCUGACUGAAAACUGGUGUGUAGGGUGAGGACUUUAUCAAAGAACAGAUCAUCAUCAUUAUACUUCAGUUCAAAAUAUGGCAGGGCCCCAGUGUUUUCAGCUCCCAUUAGCUGAACUUGUGAUAAGAUGAUAGCUGACUAUUUAAAGUGACUUGAAAGGCUUUUUUGAAGUAUUUGGGACUGAAAACUUUGGCACAGUUUCCUUCUCACAUGGACAUGGUUAUGGGGCUUCAUAGCCCGUCUUAUUUCAAGAUUUUUUAAUACCCUCAUAAUUACAUUAAAUUGGCCAGGAAAAAGGCUGAAGUUGAGGAUAUGAAGACCUGCCAACUCUGCACAAUCCUGGGUGCAAGCCUGAUUUAUUGUCAUUCCAAGUUUGCCUUGGUUUCAUUGCAUUUUCAACAUGGAACAAAGUUAUUUCUGUACUUUAAUGUGUUUUUUUUUUUUUUUUUAAAUAGAGCUAAUUUGUGUUGUGUAAGAGGAAGUUUUAUGAUGCAGACAUGUUAUAUUGCCAUCUCUAUAACAGGAGUCCAAACCUAUUAAUCAAAAUUGUCCAAAUGUAGUGAGCAAAGGGUAGAAAAUGGGGAAAGGAACAGAUAGAGCCACAGCUGCCUCUCUGCUUCAGAGAGCAUGCAACUGUCCCAAAUACAAACAUCAAACAAAAAUCUUCACAUUCACUACGAUUUGAUAUAGACUAAAUUCACUUUAGGCUUAGAUACCCAUCAGAUUGCAUCAGUUUUUAAAACUCUGCUGCAACAGGAAACCUUGAUUUGAUUUUCAAGGGACUUGAGUUUGGGCUCCUUCUAAAUUAAGUUGAGUGUUAGGGCUACUGAAAACUACAACUGAACUCUUCCAUCCUCCUCCAUUCAAUUUCAUGCCUCCAAUUUCUGUGUUUCUAAUGAAAGGGAUGUUUACUACCAGGCAUCUCACUUGAACUGAUUUGGAAAGUUUCUGAGAAAUUUAAGUUGCAAAACAUUUAAUAUGAAUGAUUUUUUUCUCCAUCAAAGAGAUCUUAUGUCAGAAUCGAAGACAAGUCCCUGCUUUUGGUCUUCCUAAUUACUGGAUGUUAGACAUUAAACAUUGAACUGGAAAUCCAAUUACAUGAUUAUUAAUCAGAUGCAUUUUUUUCAACUUGGGGAAAAAAAGGCCAAGUGAAACAUGAGAGUCCACUGGGAACCACCAAUUAAAGCAAUUAAAAAAGGAUGUGGAAUACUUAAUUUUUACACUUGGCUAGAAAGUUGAUUGACUGGGCUUGACUCUCCUGGGAGUGGGUGUGCUGGGCAG
ensembl:lncRNA